CCUACGGGAGGCAGCAGUGGGGAAUUUGGACAAUGGGGGAAACCCUGAUCCAGCAAUCCCGCGUGUGCGAUGAAGGCCUUCGGGUUGUAAAGCACUUUUGUCAGGAAAGAAAUGCCUUGCCCUAAUACGGCGGGGAAAUGACGGUACCGGCAGAAUAAGCACCGGCUAACUACGUGCCAGCAGCCGCGGUAAUACGUAGGGUGCAAGCGUUAAUCGGAAUUACUGGGCGUAAAGCGUGCGCAGGCGGUUUUGUAAGACAGAUGUGAAAUCCCCGAGCUCAACUUGGGAAUUGCAUUUGUAACUGCCAGGCUAGAGUGUGUCAGAGGGGGGUGGAAUUCCGCGUGUAGCAGUGAAAUGCGUAGAUAUGCGGAGGAACACCGAUGGCGAAGGCAGCCUCCUGGGACAUCACUGACGCUCAUGCACGAAAGCGUGGGGAGCAAACAGGAUUAGAUACCCUGGUAGUCCACGCCCUAAACGAUGUCAACUAGUUG
rnacentral:rRNA from 1 species